UAUCAAUCAAACAAAUUAAGUCUACAGAAUAAUGUAAACGAUACGCUUUACAAUACUAUAUAUAUAUGUAAAAUUAAAUUAAUAACUAUAUUCAUCAUAGCUUGUUGAUGGUGCCUACGCUCAUUACGUUGAUUAAGUCGGAAAACUUUUUUUGGCCGUGGUUCAUUAGUUGAAUGACUUGAAUGGUGAUUAUCAGUUUCAACAUUUAUACCGUGCUCCGCCGACGUCGCCGCCCGGGUGGUAUUGGGUGACGCACAAAGAACGGAUAAUGAUAGCUAUAGUGUGGAUAUCGGGUGAAAUAAUGAAAUAUAAUGUGUAACUGUAAACCCUAAAGUGAGGACACAAUAAUGUGAUGUACAUGUACAUCUAUAUAUAUAUAGGUGUACAUAUUACAUUAUAUACAUAAGAACAGUAUAUUAUAUGUAGGUAUGCGUUUAUCAAUCACACACACACACACACACACACCACACACUCUAUAUUUGGCUAGAAAAUAUGAGAGUCCGAUAUACAUAGCAUGUACAUUGUACACAAUAUCGUAUAUAUAAUAUAUAAUUAAAACUCGUUUAUUUGAUGUACCGAGUGCC